rnacentral:lncRNA from 10 species
GUCAGUUGGUGACCAGGUAGAUGGACAUUAAACAUUGGGGAUGAAAACUCGAAUUGCUGACAAGUUUUUGGUGUGAGCAUCACAUCUCAACAACUAGAGUGAAGAAAUAAUUAUCUAGGAUGGCAAUGAAACACACUGAUCCUACAUUUAUAAUAUGGAUAAAAGAAGAAAAAAAAGACAGGAUCAAAAGUGGAUUUUAGUUGUAAACUCAGCCAUGGCAGCAAUACAAUGAAUCCACUGAAUGCAUCCUUCAUUUGACAGGGAGACAAACCCAAAUACAGUUGUCUUUCCCAUGAAAACUGCAGCUCAAAUUUUAGACAUACACCUAGUUCUCCCAUUUUAUGCUAAAAUCUGAUGAGAAAUCUUGUUAGACAGAGGUGAAUGGAUGAGCCAAUGAAAAAUAAAGACAAGGACUGCAGUGGGAGGUGCCCAAGAAUUUUUCUGACAUAAAAAGAGACACACAGACCAAUGGAACAGAAUAAAGAACCAGAAGCAAAUCCACGCAUCUACAGUGAAGUCAUUUUUAACAAAGCUUCCAAGAACAUACAUUGGGGGAAAGAAAUCAGCCAAAGACUGAAUCCUGAUACAGAAAAUAUAAAGAACAAAUGGCAGCAAUUCCAAUUUUAAGUAA